GAGGAGGCGUGAGGCGUGUGCGCCUCCGCGGCGUCUCCACGGAGCGAGCGGGACGCGCCCUCCUCCUCGGUGGGAGGGAGGGGGGUCACCUGCGGGGACCAGGUAUCCGAGGGCCACCCCUAGACAGUCAGCCUGGCCCGAAGGAUGACCAGCCCCCGGUAAAUAGAAGGGGGCGAAGCCAGCUCCGAAACCUUACGUUCGCUGUCCCUUGUAAAGACCCUAGAGGCAGUGAUCGGGGAACGCCAAGGAGAAAGCGGCAGAGGGGAAACCACAGUAGAGAAGUUUGGUGUGCAGAGGGUUGAAGUGUGCUUUUCCAAGGUUAGAGGUUUUUAAACCUUGUGGCUUUAAUGGGAACGUAGUUUGCCCUCUGCUCCUCUAGUGGAAUUACAUGGACGGAAGAGGAAAUGCAUUGGCCGGCCCAGCUCACCGAGUCUCUGAGGCAUGCUGCGAACGUUGCAGAGGAAGCCAGAGAGAACCUUGCCUUCAAGGAAUUUAGGCUGUUGGGGGAUAAUGCGAUGCUGUGGCCAGUGUCCAGGACACUGCGCUAGAGUUUGCAGUAGUUUUAAUAUGCUUGACCACCCACGAACUGUGAUCUUAGAAAAGUCACUUGGGUUAGGAGUCAAAGGAUUUAAAGCCCACAAAGCCUGAAACGUAAAUCCUAUACACAUGCACGCUAUUACUUUUCAUAUGAGAAAGGAAAAUAUAAUCCGUGUUCCACAUGAUUAUGUAAAGACUGGAAUUGAUGUACAUGCAGUAAAGACUAAAAUUGUGACGAGAUCAUUUAGCAGAAACCACUACUUCAAAAUAGGACCUCAAACAGUUACCUGUGUAAGUUCAGGACUGGUUGAGCAAAGGGAAAGGAUUAAUAUGAUUGGAGAUGUAAAAUCAGUGGAAUUUUUGGCAUUUCAGUAAAAUGUCUUUAUCAGCUGGGUGUGGUGGCUCAGCCCUGUAAUCCCAACACUGUGGGAGGCCAAGGUGGGAGGAUCAUUUGAGCCCAGGAAUUGGAGAGUUGGAGACCAGCUUGGGCAACAUAAAGACCCCGUCUCUAUGGGAAAUUAACCACCUCUCAAGUGGUGCUGAGGUGGGAGGAUAGCUUGAGCCUGGGAAGUCAAGGUUGCAGUGAGCUGUGGUGACUCCAUUAUACUCCAGCCUGGGUGACAGAGCAGGACCUUGUCUCAAAAGAAAACAAAAAAGCCCUUAUUAGUGGCAAACUAAAUAAGCCUCUAACCCGUCUUCAAGUAAAGGAAGUUAUGAUAGUAUUUUCAUUUAUGCAUUUUAAGAAACUUCGACUGACUAUGGCCAGCAACUGGGAUAGAAAGAUGGACAUCAGCCGGCUGUGGUGGCUCACGCCUGUAAUCCCAGCACUUUGGGAGGCCGAGGUAGGCGGAUCACCUGAGGUCGAGAGUUCAAGACCAGCCUGACCAACAUGGAGAAACCUCAUCUCUACUAAAAAUACAAAAUUAGCCAGGUGUGGUGGUGCAUGCCUGUAAUCCCAGCUACUCGGGAGGC
rnacentral:lncRNA from 1 species